rfam:Pseudomonas fulva 12-X, complete genome.
UUCGGGCCUGUCGCUUUUCCUAAGCGACCCCCUGCACGCCGCUGCCGACGCAUUCCUAAUCGAACUUUCGACAAUAAAGCGGGCGCCUGUCGCCUCUCCGCGGUGCGGC